GGUUCUUUAGCUCAGUUGGUAGUUACCCGUUCGGUCGCUGGUUCGAGUCCAGCAAGAACCA
rnacentral:tRNA from 1 species